AGAGUUUGAUCCUGGCUCAGAUUGAACGCUGGCGGCAUGCUUUACACAUGCAAGUCGAACGGUAACGCGGGGGCAACCCUGGCGACGAGUGGCGAACGGGUGAGUAAUACAUCGGAACAUGUCCUGGAGUGGGGGAUAGCUCGGCGAAAGCCGGAUUAAUACCGCAUACGCUCUGAGGAGGAAAGCGGGGGACCUUCGGG
rnacentral:rRNA from 1 species